rnacentral:rRNA from 1 species
CACGCCGUAAACGAUGAGUGCUAAGUGUNGGGGGGUUUCCGCCCCUCAGUGCUGCAGCUAACGCAUUAAGCACUCCGCCUGGGGAGUACGGUCGCAAGACUGAAACUCAAAGGAAUUGACGGGGGCCCGCACAAGCGGUGGAGNAUGUGGUUUANUUCGAAGCAACGCGAAGANCCUUACCAGGUCUUGACAUCCCAUUGNCCACUGUAGAGAUACAGUUUUCCCUUCGGGGACAACGGUGACAGGUGGUGNAUGGUUGUCGNCAGCUCGUGUCGNGANAUGUUGGGUUAAGUCCCGCAACGAGCGCANCCCUUGAUCUUAGUUGACAUCAUUUAGUUGGACACUCUAAGGUGACUGCCGGUGACAANCCGGAGGAAGGUGGGGAUGACGUCANAUCAUCA